AUGUAGCGCAAUAGAUAGCGCGUUGCACAUCUAAUUCAAAGGUCGUGGGUUUGAAUUCCACCUGGGUUG